UAGUCUGCAACUCGACUACAUGAAGCUGGAAUCGCUAGUAAUCGCAGAUCAGAAUGCUGCGGUGAAUACGUUCCCGGGUCUUGUACACACCGCCCGUCACACCAUGGGAGUCGGAAAUGCCCGAAGUCUGUGACCCAACCUGAGAGGGAGGGAGCAGCCGAAGGCAGGUCGGAUGACUGGGGUGAAGUCGUAACAAGGUAUC
rnacentral:rRNA from 1 species